GGGCGAACGCUGGCGGCGUGCUUAACACAUGCAAGUCGAGCGGUAAGGCCCUUUCGGGGGUACACGAGCGGCGAACGGGUGAGUAACACGUGGGUGACCUGCCCUCAGCUCUGGGAUAAGCCUGGGAAACCGGGUCUAAUACUGGAUAUGACUCCAUGACGCAUGUUGUGGGGUGGAAAGCCUUGUGCGGCUGAGGAUGGGCCCGCGGCCUAUCAGCUUGUUGGUGGGGUGA
rnacentral:rRNA from 1 species